UCCUACGGGAGGCAGCAGUGGGGAAUAUUGGACAAUGGGGGGAACCCUGAUCCAGCCAUGCCGCGUGUGUGAAGAAGGCCCUCGGGUUGUAAAGCACUUUCAGCGAGGAAGAACGCCUAGCGGUUAAUACCCGCUAGGAAAGACAUCACUCGCAGAAGAAGCACCGGCUAACUCCGUGCCAGCAGCCGCGGUAAUACGGAGGGUGCAAGCGUUAAUCGGAAUUACUGGGCGUAAAGCGCGCGUAGGUGGCUUGAUAAGUCGGUUGUGAAAGCCCCGGGCUCAACCUGGGAACGGCAUCCGGAACUGUCAAGCUAGAGUGCAGGAGAGGAAGGUAGAAUUCCCGGUGUAGCGGUGAAAUGCGUAGAGAUCGGGAGGAAUACCAGUGGCGAAGGCGGCCUUCUGGACUGACACUGACACUGAGGUGCGAAAGCGUGGGUAGCAAACAGGAUUAGAUACCCUGGUAGUCCACGCCGUAAACGAUGUCGACCAGCCGUUGGGUGCCUAGCGCACUUUGUGGCGAAGUUAACGCGAUAAGUCGACCGCCUGGGGAGUACGGCCGCAAGGUUAAAACUCAAAUGAAUUGACGG
rnacentral:rRNA from 1 species